AUGUGGCGGGGAAAAGGAAAGAUUGGCGCCGAGAGUUGCCGUCGCAGAGGACAGGCAGGGCCGCGCCGCCGCCGAGGAGGACCCGCAGGGUCGCGCCGCCGCCGCCCAAGUGAAGCGCUCCGCCUCGCCGCGGCGGUAAUUAGCGCCGCCGAGCCCCGCGGGAACCAGCUCCGCCGAGUCGCCGGGGAACUAGAAGAGCGCUGUCGUGCGCCGGGUAGCAGUGACUUGCCGCCGCGGUCCACGGAGGAGCGCCACCCUGACCACCACGUUCGGUUUCCCAGGUCGCCUCUCCUUUUACUUCACACCAGUUUGAUGCUUGUGCAGUUUGGGUUCAGAGUUAGCACGGUUUGGAUUAGUUUCGUUUCAGAAUUAACUUAUAAUAUGUGUAGUUCUAUGACUUUGCAUCAAUAUCAUCACUGCACCAAAACAAGUUAA
rnacentral:rRNA from 1 species